rnacentral:tRNA from 1 species
GGUCGCUUAGCUCAAUUGGCAGAGCGCCUCGUUCACAUCGAGGAGGUUGAUGGUUCAAAUCCAUCAGCGACCA